rnacentral:misc_RNA from 1 species
CAUUCAGUAGCCUCGCUACUUGUUUAUACCCUUGUUUUUGCGUACUAUUGUUUCCUCGGCGGGCUUGCCUGCCGGUUGGACAAAACUAUAACCUUUUUAAAUCUUCAAUCAGCGUCUGAAUUAUACAUAAUAAUUA